rnacentral:misc_RNA from 1 species
UACGGAGGGUGCGAGCGUUAAUCGGAAUUACUGGGCGUAAAGGGUGCGUAGGUGGUUUGAUAAGUUGGCUGUGAAAUACCGGGGCUUAACCUUGGGGAGUCAGCCAAGACUGUCAGGCUUGAGUAUAGGAGAGGGCAGUGGAAUUUCCGGUGUAGCGGUGAAAUGCGUAGAGAUCGGAAGGAACACCAGUGGCGAAGGCGUCUGCCUGGCCUAAUACUGACACUGAGGCACGAAAGCGUGGGUAGCAAACAGG